GUGCCAGCCGCCGCGGUAAGACGUAGGAUGCAAGCGUUGUUCGGAAUUAUUGGGCGUAAAGCGUGCGUAGGCGGCUAUUUAAGUCUGGUGUUAAAGCUAGGGGCUCAACCCCUGUGUUGCACUGGAAACUGGGUAGCUUGAGUGCGGUAGGGGAAGGUGGAAUUCCGAGUGUAGCGGUGAAAUGCGUAGAUAUUCGGAAGAACACCGGUGGCGAAGGCGACCUUCUGGGCCGCAACUGACGCUGAGGCACGAAAGCGUGGGGAGCAAACGGGAUUAGAUACCCCUGUAGUCC
rnacentral:rRNA from 1 species